rnacentral:misc_RNA from 1 species
UAUCAUAUUAAAUUAAUAUUUUAAAUUUAUAAAUAUAUUAUGUUAAAAUUAAAAAAUAAAUUAUUUAUUAAAUAAAUAUAAUUUGCAUACCCUAAAUUGAAUUGACGUAUCAAUUAAAUGAAUCACAAAUCGAAUUAACGUAUUAAUUAAGACUACUGCUUAUCCUGUAUUUUAUUUGGUGGCGUACCACAUACCCGCACUGUUACUCGGGAGUACUAGUUCUAGGUAACUAUGAAUUGAGUGAUAUUGAUAGCCUACAAUUUCAUUUUAUAGAUGGUGAAUAUAAUUGAGAUAACAAUAAAACAAAGAUGCAACUAAGUCAAUCAUUAUACUGGGAAAUUGAUUGCUGAUGAAAGUGGACUUUUUUUUUAUUAUUUUUUUAAAAAAAGAAAAGAUUUAACCAGAGAGAGAAACACAUUCAUUCAUUAUUUGUAUUUACAGAUAGACAGAGAGAGAAUAAGAGAGAGAGAGAGAAUCUGUGUCUUGGUAUAAUCCGCCUUAUUCUCCGAUAUAGUUUGUUUUUAUUUAUUUAUUUUUUUAUUAUGGGGGAGUAGAGGAGGAACUGCUGCUUGUUUGAUCCAAAAACCUGUCAACCUCAAACCUCUCUCUCUGUCUCUGUCUUUGUUUUUCACUUGUGUUCUCACGUAUUAUUGCAAAAUUUUGAUUUGCUUUGUUGGGUUGAUGCUGUAUACGUAGAAACAUUAAGUAAAAUUUGUUAAGACUGAGAGAGAGAGAAGAGAAGAGAAGAAAUAUAAGGGUUUCAGCUUUGGAUUGUAAGAAUGAAUUCAAAUUUGGCUGCUUCUUCUUCUCGACGCAUGACUAAGGAUAAACCCAGGAGGCUCUAUCAGGUCUGGAAGGGAAGCAAUAGAUUUCUUUUUGGUGGGAGAUUGAUAUUUGGUCCUGAUGUGGCUUCAAUGUUCCUGUCUACACUUCUUAUUGCUGUUCCUGCAGUUGCUUUUUGUAUGAAAACCUACUUCAAGAUUGUGGAUGAAGAUACUGAACAUCCUGACCAUUGGUAUCCUGUGUUAAUUGUGGGCUCAAUCUUUACUAUAUUAGAUUUAGUCUUUCUCUUCUUGACCUCUAGUCGAGAUCCCGGAAUAGUCUGUAGAAAUUCACGGCCUCCUGAAUCAGAUGAAGCAUUUGAUGCAGCUACUCCUUCUAUGGAAUGGGUCAAUGGCAGAACCCCUCAUUUAAAACUACCCCGGACAAAAGAUGUUAUGGUAAAUGGCCAUACAGUGAAAGUUAAGUACUGCGAUACUUGUUUGCUUUAUCGUCCUCCUCGUGCUUCUCAUUGUUCGAUCUGCAACAACUGCAUUCAGAGAUUUGAUCAUCACUGUCCAUGGGUUGGUCAGUGCAUCGGAGUACGCAACUAUCGAUUCUUCUUCAUGUUUAUAUCAACAGCAACCAUCUUGUGCAUGUGUGUCUUUGUAUUUUCUUGGAUUCAUAUCCUCAGUAGAAAGGAGCACCUUUGGAAAGCCAUAUCUCAAGAAAUCCUUUGUGAUUUUCUCAUAGUAUACUGCUUUGUAGCUGUCUGGUUUGUUGGUGGCCUUACAAUUUUUCACUCCUAUCUUGUUUGCACAAACCAGACCACUUACGAGAAUUUUCGCUACCGAUAUGACAAGAAGGAGAAUCCAUAUAAUAGGGGAAUGGUAAGAAAUAUUACAGAAAUAUUUUUCACCAAGAUUCCACCUUCAAUGAAUAAAUUCCGUUCCUUUGUGGAGGAAGAUGAACAGAUGGUAGCUGGAUCAGUUGUGCCACACCUGGGGGAUGGUUUCAUUAGCUCAAAAGAGAAAAUCGACAUUGAAAUGGGAACUAAGCUUGCAGAAGAUAAUAAUUAUUCCCUUCCAGAAAUUUUGCGAAAUUUGGAUUAUGAUGAUGAUUCAGACGAUAAUUACAAGACGAAGGAAGAAGAAGGCAGGCCAUCUUUUGACCAAUUCUUUCCUGGUGGGCAAGAAUUGAAAGAAUCGUUGCAAAUCUCUGUCACUAGAGAUGAAUUGAAAGAGUCCGUUCAAGGUUCAGUUGUUGGGGAUGGUGCUAAAAAAUCUGCACUAAGCUCAAGCAAAUCUGUGGAAGGUUCUACUGCUAGUGAUGAAGUGAGAGAGUCAACCCAAAGAUCUAAUGCUGAAGCUGAAGUAAGUGAAUCUCCUCAAAAAUCUAAUUCUGAAAAUGAAGUAAGAUAUUCUGCGCAAAGAUAUAAUCCUGAAGUUGAAGUGAGAGAAUCUGCACAAAGUCCUACUGUUGAAGAAGGGCCUAGAUAUGCUAUCAAGGGUUCUACUGCUGGAGAUGAGACUCACUCAGCAGAGGGAAUUUAAUGACAGAACCAAUUCUUGAAGUAUAGAGGUUGUGAUCUUGCCUUUCUUUCCAUUACAAAUAUUUUUCCUCAUGUCUAUUUCAGCUAAGGCUUUUAUAUUAGUGGACUGCUAAACUCGUGUAGAAUAGUAACAAGACCAUACUAAUCGAUAAAUCAUAUAGUAUGAUAAUGUAGUGGCGAUAAAUAAUGGUAUUAUAAAAGUAACAUUUCUGCUGUUCGUUGAUUCACGUACAAUGGGAAAUUCAGAGAUUUAAUCCCAUAGCAAUUGAUUUUCCAAAUAGAGCAUAUAAUUUGGUACACUGGAUUUGGUUUUGUACUUGUUUUACUUCCUUGUAUAUCUCAUUUGCUGAUAUGUUGAGAAAGUCUGUUCAUCUACUUUGUUCCCUUUGGUGCCUUGAAAAUGAAACCAGUGGGUUCUGAAUCGAACCGAAAUCAAAAAGCUGAAAAACAACCGAAUUAAGGGAAGAAUCGACGUUUAGAAUAGUCGGUUUGAGGCAGAGUCCAAAUGCAGAGUUCUUCAUCUUCAGAAAUGUUCUCUUCAUAUAACUCAGAAUUAACAACUCAACAUAUAACUCAGAAACCCAUUAACAACUCAACAAUCAAUUCAAACAAAUUCAUAUAACUUAAACAAAUCACAAUAUCACAUGAGAAAUUUCUCAAAAAUUGUAAUUCCAAUACAGAUCAACAAAAACUCUCAAUCACAAGUUCCAUUACACAUUCAAAAACUCAAAAAAUAAAAAAUCAGCAGCAUGACUCCACAAACCCAUAGGCAAUGAACUCAUAAACUUAGAAGACAUGAAUGCGAUGUAGAAGCCAUGAACUUAUAAACCAGGACUCAUGAAAUCAGAACAAAUAAAUAAAAAAAAAGUCGAAUCAAUAACGACACAAUCUAGAAGCAGUGAACCCAAAGCCAUGAAUGCGAUUUGAAAGCGUUCCAAGCUCAUUUCACUGAUUUCAAUCUGCUAGAGGCGUUGGAGAUGAGAUCUGGACCAGAGACACAAACCUAAAAGCCAUGGUUACUGUCGUGGAUCAUCUCGUUUAGAAAGGAAGGAAGGGAAGGAUUAGUAGGAAGAACUCAAGAAAAUGAGAGAUUAGAGUUGUGAGUUGUGGGUUUCUGAGAGAAGUCUGGGUAGCUGAA